AAAAAACGCCAAGGGUUAACAACAUUAACCUUGUUUAUAAAGGCUUGAAUCACUUUGGUCGACUUGGAUUGGGAAGAAUGAUUUAAGUAUGGAUUAAUCCAGCAGUUGAAGUCUCCACCUAAGAUUAAAUCAUACAUGGACAAGUCAGGUAGCAUUGAGAAAACCUGUCUAAAAAAGACUCAUCAUCCCAGUUGGGGGCAUAAAAAUGUGUCCUAUGACCUGCAAUAAACCUGCCACCAGAAUCAGACAUUGUCUCAAUAUAAACAAAAGGAAUAUCAAAAGGAUUUGGCUCCCCCCUGUGGACCGAAGCAGAGAGAGCAUCAAAGAUAACAAAAGGUAAAAGGAGGAGAGAAGGAAACAAGGGAGGAGAAGAGGAAAUAAGGAAGGAGGGGAGGAGGAAACAAAGGAGAGGGGAAGGAAACAAAAGAAGGGAGGAUGAAAUAAGGGAGGAGAAAGGAGGAAUAGAGGUAGUUCAGGCAGGUCGCUGAGUCAAGCUGAUCUUAAACCAGCCCUCAGUUAGCUUACAGCUCAGGUGAUCGCCCUCUACACAUCCUAUUGGCUAAUGUCAAAAUGGCGCCCUAUUUAAACUGCUUCUCCUGUCUACUCUGCGUUUUUGCGUUUUCCUACCUUGCUCUUCAUCAUGUCGAUCCCUGCCCACGACAAGGAUCCACGGCAGAUUGACUGCUUUCUGAAACGCAGCACCAGCAUGUGAGGUCGAGGAAGCCAGUCCUUGCAAUGACAGAUGCGUUCCCUUCCGCACGAGCUCUCCUCUGGCAAGUAAAACUUUUAUGUCUCCCAGCUUCAUGAAGUCCAGGCUCCCGGAAGUCCUUUAAAGAUAACAUCACAGCUCCCGGUGGUGCCUCACAUCAAUAUCCACAUAGAGCCCCCACUUGCAGUUCUCUCUUCCUCCUCUGUAUCCAGAAAAGCGACCGAGAAAAGAAAACGCUGUUCCCGCCGCGUCACCGCCGCCGCCCGCAGAGCGCGAGGCCCAACCCCAGCCACCAGAACCGCGGACGUGGACGACAAUCCCAUCCUGAAAGCACUAUCCAGCAUCCAGCCAUCGCUCGCCCACAUGUCUUCGAGGAUCGAAGCCCCAGAAUCCGGUUCGGUACGUGCUAAGCUGUCCUCCUUCAUCCCAGCUGUCACCUUCUUUCACCGCGCUGAACGAUGACGUCACUCCAGCGACAACCUACGACAGCGUCACGAUCCCGCCAAAGACCCUGGGAAGUGCAGUCCCCGUCGCCACCGGCGUCCCAUUCUUCCCUCCCGCGGCUGCAAUUACACCGAAUCUGCGGAGCCAAAUCCUCGAAGGUACCGACAUUAAUCUUGUAAAUAAUCUUGCUGUGCUCCGACUACAACGAUAGACGCAUUGUGGAUUGCGGAGAUGAGUCUGUGAUGCUUAAAUAUCGUGAUGCGCGUCUGUUUAAAUCUCCGACCUUAGCUGAAUUCAUGUAGCUUUCUGCGUAUUUGGAAAUGUCAUAUGUGAAGUGUUUUCAGCACGCAGAACUGAACUGGACACAUAUCUUGCCAUUAUUUCUGAUUCAGACAUGACUUAUGGAAGAAUAUUAUUCUAGGAAUCUCACAAAUCAUUUUCAGCAAAGCUGCUAAGUACAUUCAAAGAUUCAACCAGACUUGAUUAGUCCGUAGGCGACCUGGCUCAACUCGACUUAGCAUCAAGCUUUUUCUUGUUCAAGCUGUGGGUCUUCCUCUCACACCCAGAGUAAGCCAGGAAGCAGGUAUGCAGCGGUACACAGCAGUACGCUGUUAAAUAGAUAAAUGAUUAUUAAAUAAACAAAUAAAUAGAUUUUAUGUUCAAGAGAGGGAGAGAGAGAUGCAGCAGAUGAUGGUACUGUGGCAUCAGAGUCGGCACCUCGCUAAAUGUGGGUAUACUCCUCUUGUUCAAAGCCCAUGGGCACAGUACAUGCAAGAACCUUAUCCUACGUUAACUAAGGUGACCAGACGUCCCCCAUUUCCGGGGACAGUCCCCGAAUAGGAUUACCUGUCCCUGGAAAAAGCUGUCCCCGAAAAUGGGUAAGGAAGCACAAGUAAGCAGUCCUGAGCAACAGUUGUUACGGGAGUUAUUACAAGGCCGAAUGUCCCCUGGUUUCAUUACAGAAAUCUGGUCACCUUAAUAUUAACCCCUGCUCACACCUCCAAUCUGUGCCCCAAAACUGUGGCUACAGGCCAACC
rnacentral:lncRNA from 1 species